GUACUGGCGGCCGCCUACCAUGCAAGUCGAGCGGUAGAGAGAAGCUUGCUUCUCUUGAGAGCGGCGGACGGGUGAGUAAUGCCUAGGAAUCUGCCUGGUAGUGGGGGAUAACGUUCGGAAACGGACGCUAAUACCGCAUACGUCCUACGGGAGAAAGCAGGGGACCUUCGGGCCUUGCGCUAUCAGAUGAGCCUAGGUCGGAUUAGCUAGUUGGUGGGGUAAUGGCUCACCAAGGCGACGAUCCGUAACUGGUCUGAGAGGAUGAUCAGUCACACUGGAACUGAGACACGGUCCAGACUCCUACGGGAGGCAGCAGUGGGGAAUAUUGGACAAUGGGCGAAAGCCUGAUCCAGCCAUGCCGCGUGUGUGAAGAAGGUCUUCGGAUUGUAAAGCACUUUAAGUUGGGAGGAAGGGCAGUAAAUUCAUACUUUGCUGUUUUGACGUUACCGACAGAAUAAGCACCGGCUAACUCUGUGCCCAGCAGCCGCGGUAAUACAGAGGGUGCAGGCGUUAAUCGGGA
rnacentral:rRNA from 1 species